GCGGGUGUAGUUCAAUGGUAGAACUUCAGCUUCCCAAGCUGACAGCGCGGGUUCGAUUCCCGUCACCCGCUCCC
rnacentral:tRNA from 6 species